GCUGGCGGCAGGCCUAACACAUGCAAGUCGAGCGGUAGAGAGAAGCUUGCUUCUCUUGAGAGCGGCGGACGGGUGAGUAAUGCCUAGGAAUCUGCCUGGUAGUGGGGGAUAACGUUCGGAAACGGACGCUAAUACCGCAUACGUCCUACGGGAGAAAGCAGGGGACCUUCGGGCCUUGCGCUAUCAGAUGAGCCUAGGUCGGAUUAGCUAGUUGGUGAGGUAAUGGCUCACCAAGGCGACGAUCCGUAACUGGUCUGAGAGGAUGAUCAGUCACACUGGAACUGAGACACGGUCCAGACUCCUACGGGAGGCAGCAGUGGGGAAUAUUGGACAAUGGGCGAAAGCCUGAUCCAGCCAUGCCGCGUGUGUGAAGAAGGUCUUCGGAUUGUAAAGCACUUUAAGUUGGGAGGAAGGGUUGUAGAUUAAUACUCUGCAAUUUUGACGUUACCGACAGAAUAAGCACCGGCUAACUCUGUGCCAGCAGCCGCGGUAAUACAGAGGGUGCAAGCGUUAAUCGGAAUUACUGGGCGUAAAGCGCGCGUAGGUGGUUUGUUAAGUUGGAUGUGAAAUCCCCGGGCUCAACCUGGGAACUGCAUUCAAAACUGACUGACUAGAGUAUGGUAGAGGGUGGUGGAAUUUCCUGUGUAGCGGUGAAAUGCGUAGAUAUAGGAAGGAACACCAGUGGCGAAGGCGACCACCUGGACUAAUACUGACACUGAGGUGCGAAAGCGUG
rnacentral:rRNA from 1 species